rnacentral:rRNA from 1 species
CCUACGGGUGGCAGCAGUGAGGAAUAUUGGUCAAUGGACGCAAGUCUGAACCAGCCAUGCCGCGUGCAGGAUGACGGCUCUAUGAGUUGUAAACUGCUUUUGUACGAGGGUAAACCCCGAUACGUGUAUCGGGUCGAAAGUAUCCUACGAAUAAGGAUCGGCUAACUCCGUGCCAGCAGCCGCGGUAAUACGGAGGGUCCGAGCGUUAUCCGGAUUUAUUGGGUUUAAAGGGUGCGUAGGCGGUUUGAUAAGUUAGAGGUGAAAUGUCGGGGCUCAACCCCGAAACUGCCUCUAAUACUGUUGGACUAGAGAAUAGUUGCGGUAGGCGGAAUGUAUGGUGUAGCGGUGAAAUGCUUAGAGAUCAUACAGAACACCGAUUGCGAAGGCAGCUUACCAAACUAUAUCUGACGUUGAGGCACGAAAGCGUGGGUAGCGAACAGGAUUAGAUACCCGAGUAGUC